GAUGAAGAACGCAGCGAAAUGCGAUAAGUAGUGUGAAUUGCAGAAUUCAGUGAAUCAUCGAAUCUUUGAACGCACAUUGCGGCCAUAGGUAUUCCUUUGGCCAUGCCUGUUCGAGCGUCAUUUACACCCUCAAGCCUAGCUUGGUGUUGGGCGUCUGUCCCGCCGUUCUCGCGCGCGGACUCGCCUCAAAGUCAUUGGCGGCGGUCGUGCCGGCCCCCUCGCGCAGCACAUUUGCGCUUCUCGGAGGCCCGGCGGAUCCGCGCUCCAGCAAGACCUUUCACGACUUGACCUCGGAUCAGGUAGGGAUACCCGCUGAGCUUAAGCAUAUCAAUAAGCGGAGGA
rnacentral:misc_RNA from 1 species